rnacentral:sRNA from 1 species
CUCACGCGACACCGAGUCGUCGAGGCCA